GAGCUGAAAACCAAUGGGAACAACACUGAAGCACCAGCACAGGGGCUGUGCCCCAUCCCAGGAGUGUAUAGUCCUUCAGAAGCACAGGUUGUCUGCAAAGUACUGAGUUGGAUUUAUCUGUCAAGGACUAGGAAGGACCUACAGGGUAAGCAAAAGCUGGUGCUGAAUGUAUACAUGGAGUUGAGGCAGGAGGCAUUAAAUAUCACUAGAGAAGGGCAAGACUUGCACCUACUUUAGUCCCCAGAUUUGGCCUGCAAAUACAUGCUUUGUUUUAGAUAUUGAGUGAUCCCAGAAGCUGCUUGCAGAGUCAAAUCUUUAACACAGCAAGCAAUAUUACCACUUGCAGAGCUGAAACUUGUGCUUUUAUCCUGAAGCAGAUGGAGCUUGACUUUUCUGGCUCAACUAUAAUGUGCUAGGUCGCUAAGAUAAUACUCCUCUUACAGUAAGAAAAGUUCUCCUCAAGCACUUGCUCCUAUGUCAUGCCAGGAAACUUGUUUAAAUCUGACCUCUAUGUCAUCUGAGUGUACUUAUUUCCUUAAGGAGGCCCAGCUUCUCAUCCAAACCUCAUCCAUUCUCACACUCGGUGCAGUGGUGUACUUCUAAAUGAGUUGCUACACAGGGUGAGGCAGCAGCAAUUCUUGUUCUCUGCUCGGUUAGGUAGAGCAGGGUCAGCAUUCAGUGGUUGUUCCUUGCCUGGGUUAAAUUCCUUUGUUUCUUCAUGGAAUGAUGGGAGUGAUUAACCCACCUGUUCUAUGGGCUGCAAGCACUGCCAUGGAGGGGGUGGGUUGUAAGGUUGGAAGUUCAUAGGCUGUUCAACCAUGGAGGUAUAAUUGAAGUGUAAUUGGGAAGAGUGACCUUUACAACCAGCAUCUUGCCCUAACCACCUUUCACAGCCAAGCAUGGCAGCAUUGCAAGUAAAUCCUUCAGCCUCCUGGGCAAGGGCUGUGCCCUGUGGAUGCAUCACAGCCCUAACCACUGUGUGGGGAGAAGAAAGCGUUCCUGUGCCUCUGAGAAGACACACUCUUUGUAUGUUAGAGCUGGCAUGGCCUGUCUCACCUCCUUCACAGCAACAUCAAGGCUCGGCAGCACCUAACGGGGUGGUUUCCAGCAAAGUAGUUAAGAUUAUAGCCAUUUACUACAUCUAAAAAUACUUGUUAACAUGAUAGCCACCAUCCUUACCCUCUUGUCCAAAUGUUCCACUUUGGCCUAAAUUGUGGUACAAUGUCUUUCAGUGAGAGCUCCUCCUGAUGCAUGGUGGUGUUUGGUUCACCCUUUAAACAUCGUUACCAGACAGUGUUAGAGUAGAUCCAAAAAAUCCAGCACUGUCUAGUAAGAUGCCCACAGAGGACCAGAGUCUGUUCAGCAGUUGGAGAAGUGAAGCAGCUAUUAAUGAGUCCAUAUUCUUCAGGCUGUCAGCGUUCCAUAAAACUAACAGAAAUGGCUUGAGGAAGAUUGCCUUACACCCCUGGGUGGGGAAAUAGGUGGUGGGCAGAAGGAAGACAUUUGAUAUUAAAGGAUAGGUUGAAAAUCAUGGUGCGUUUCAGGAGACAAAGAUAGUUUAAUAAAGAUCUAAAAUAGAAACAAAAGGUUAAGUUCUAUUUCAACAUGAUUUAACACCAGUAAGAUUCCUUGUGGUUUGUUUCUUGGCCUCCUCACUCCCUCCUCCCUUUUGAUUCACAAACAUACUCAUUCAGGUCUUUCCAAUCAAUUAAAAAGACACACUGAAAUCUGGUCAAUAAAGAAAACAAUCCUAAGGAGGGCACAGAAAAGGGACAAAGAUGGCCUAGCAUUAAACACAGCUGCUUUUACAACAAAUGCUUUAUUGUAUUGGCUUCAGUUGCAGGGAUGCAGACAAAUGUGAGUCUUGAAUAAAAGUGACAGUGACAGGAGACUUUGUUGUAGUUAUUACUAAUGCAAUUAAGCAUAGUGAAUGCUAAUGAUAACGAUGAUAAGGUAUCUGUCUGCUUUGUUUUGUGCUUUUCAGGAGAAGGGGAAGUUUGCUGUAGCACAUCAUGCAACAGAAGGUAGAAAUCUAGCACAGGCUGCUCACCCUGGAGCAGUUCCCUUGGUAAGAGCUCUGAGCUGUUCUAAGUGGGGCUGUUACUCCAAGCACUCCCCAUGUCUGACUCUGCCACUGACCUGCUGCAUCACCCAGCAGGAAGGCAGCAGGAUUUGCUUGGUCUUGCUUUGUUCACCCCUUAGUCUUAUCUCUCAGGGUAGUAAUGGCCUCUCACUGCAUGACAGCUUAAGAGAGCUCUGAUCUGAGCUAUACUGUGUAGGUAAUGCUAUACUGCAUGUAAUAUUUAGUAUAGCCAUAAGGUACUCACAAGUCUUUGUGGCUCCAGCACAGUAGAUAUACAACCUUUCUAUCAAAGUAGAUUAUAAAGGAGUACAUUUCAUCCAUGCUACACUCCAGUGAAUCAUUCGGCUGACACUUCAGGAGAGGGUUCAAGGAAACAACCGGCCUUCUCAGUGCAAGUAAUUAAACCCCCAGCACAUCGUAGAUCAGUAAGAGAUCUCAGGGCAAGGGGGGGAUGACAGGAUGCUGCUGGUGGUGCCUUUUGGUGCUUCACACCUGCCAGGUACACUGAAACACCUGCCCAUAAAGCCAUGUGUCAGAUAAAACCAGCAAUAAUACCCUUUCUCAGUGAGAGCUGUUAUAAAUCAUUCUCUACAGUACCUUUCACAUCUGGUAACUGGGAAGUACAACUUCCUGUGUUGUUUUAAUACACUGUAAAGAACAAAAAGCCUCCAUAAACCAUAUAAGACAACAUUCUCACCUCCACUAAGUCCCUUUAGACAGGGCUAGUUCUUUCAAGGUUGCUUUAACUAGUAUAAUUGAUUUAAGGCAAGAAAUCUCAUAGAAUAACAACAAAGCCCAUCAUAGUUUAAAAUGCAUUAUUAGGCCACUAAAGUAAUGAAAACAAUCAAAGGGAAUGGGAGUUAAGUCUCAUUCUCUUUCCCCCUCAAGAAGUGACAAAUGGCUGUAAAAGUAUAGCUGUAUAAAAAUAAAGGUAUAUGCAUUAAUUGACAGUUCAAAGAUCUAAACUGAAGGGCUUUGCUAUUAGAGCAUUGUACUGGAGAAGUCCAGAGGAAUUGCUGUGAAAAGGAAAGAGUAAGUUACAACAGCAAAGCUGCAAAAGUAAACCCCACAUUUGAUUUUGGCAGCCAAGUUCUUGCAUUCUAUUUAGCUGACAAGAACAUUGUCAUUUGGAGAGAAGAUGGUGGAGAAAGAAACUCAAGUGUUACAUUUCAAUAAACUGUUUGCUUUCACUCUCUGGGAAGCUACCAUGGUUUAAAAGGAAAGAAAAAGAACGUGUUUGGAGCAGAGUGCCUGCAUUCAGCUCACCCCUACAAAGCAUUUGAACAUGUUCGAUCAUUGCAGUAUCAAACGUUUGCUCUGUGCCACAUUCUGCACAGUUUUCUAUUUACAGGCUCACUCUAACAUUAUCAUGCUCGAAUGAGGCCAAGAUUUCCUUAUGUUUGCUUUUACCCUUUAUUCGAGAACCCAAAGCAUUUCAUUUUCAAUUUACUUAUGCUUGGGGAGGUUUGCCAGGCAAGGCUGGUUUCUCUAGUGGCCACUGACCUGCUUCCAAACUCGCUGUUGAGCUUUUCCACGUUGUGCACGAAACACCAUCAUCAUCAUUACCAGGCAGUAUUAGAAACACAGAAAACAUCCAAUGCUGCCCAGUAAGAUGGUAAUGGCAUCUCAGGGUCAUGGUCUACAAACAGCAGAGAUACCAAAAGCUAGAAAGCCUGACUGUUUGGAGUAGGAAAGAAAAGAAGGGGUGGAGGCAGAAUCCCACCUGUAGCUGUGAUUGAUUGUGAUUGCAGUGAUUGCCAAAUGCUGUUCAUUUGGGAGAGGUGGAAACAACAACGUGCUCAAGAGUUAGCCCAUAAAUACUUGUAUACAGGUCAUAUAGUCCUGCCUCUUCCCACCAGCCUCCCCCUCCCCACACACACCUUCAGAGCUGUCACUUACCAAGAAGUGGUAUUAUUUAUAUUGACACCUGAUGAAUCACAGUUAUGAACUGGUAAAUGCUAUUUGAGGCAUGGGCAAUUACAGCCAACCUUCUGCCCUACCUGCUGCUGCAGACUAAAGUGUGGGGAAGUGCAAAAUCCAGGAAGCAACAUAGGUUUGUAGACUUAGGGAGAUAACUCUUACCUUUCUUCCAGUACCUCCAACCCUUUAAGCUUUAUCUAUAUUUUAUUAGGCAAUUCAUAUUUGCUGAUUCCUUCAGUCAUCUUUUAAUCACAUUUCUAUUCGGGGAGGCCAAAGAUCUUGCUGAGCAUAGUUAUUACAAAGAAACCAUGAAUAUUUCAAUGCUAAGAAGGUCUGAAGCUUCUUAAUGUUCACAAGAGUUUUGCAUGUGUGUUUUAUAUUGACUCCUAUACAUUAAAAAAUACACCUGGUCCUCUAAACAACUACAUGAAUUACUGCAAUUCACUCACCACAAAGAAACUCUGCAUUGACAUUUAAAACCCUUGAAAAGACCUGACAAAAACAUUCCUUCCAGUGCAUUCUGAAUCCCAUUGGAAAUCCCUGUUUGCCAGACACUGCUGAGAGAUAAACCUUCCCCAGCCUCGUGGCUCCAGGAUGGUGUUUGUCAUUCGCUCCCUCCACCCAUUUCCUCCUUUACCUGCACAGGCACUACGUUUCUGAACCAAACCCAGUUUGAUUAGUGAUAGGGUACAAGAAAAUGCCUUCAACUCAGCAAACACUGAGGGAUGCAAAAGGUGCAGCUAAAAGGAGGGGAAGAGAAGUUUUGGUUUGGUUCCAGAUAACUCCAGGUCACAAAAGCUGAAUUCCUGAGGAAAGGGAACUGGUGCUUUAAUUUGCUAAAGCAAGGAGACCAAAAAUACCCUUCCUGCUUGCACUGAUGGCUUUGGAACUGCAGUAAGGAGAAGGCCAUUCCCAAAUGCUCGUCAGCACAGAAACCAAUUGACCAGCAGGUCUGCAUUUAAUGUAAAGAUGGUGAAAAUAAAGUGAAAAAGAACAAAA